GCCAACCUAGCUCAGCCGGUAGAGCAACAGUUUCGUAAAUUGUAGGUCGUGGGUUCGAAUCCCAUGGUUGGCUCCA
rnacentral:tRNA from 3 species